rnacentral:rRNA from 1 species
UACGUAGGGUCCGAGCGUUGUCCGGAAUUACUGGGCGUAAAGAGCUCGUAGGUGGUUUGUCGCGUUGUUCGUGAAAGCCCUGGGCUCAACCUGGGAAUUGCAUUGGAUACGGGCAGACUGGAGUGCUGUAGGGGAGACUGGAAUUCCUGGUGUAGCGGUGAAAUGCGCAGAUAUCAGGAGGAACACCGGUGGCGAAGGCGGGUCUCUGGGCAGUAACUGACGCUGAGGAGCGAAAGCGUGGGGAGCGAACAGG